GUUCUGUUCCUAAGGAAGCUCUGGAUGCCAGGCGGACCACCAAGAGCCUUUGCCACUGUCACCCAAGGCCCAGGCUGCCCACCCCUGGCCUUCUCUGGAGCACCUGUUCUUCCCAGCUUUUGCAUAUGAGAGAGAACAUUCAGCCCUCGAGUUUCGUGAAUCUGCAAGCUCCCGUCUCUUUUCAAAGCUGGGAUUCUUUUGAGGCAUUAUUUCUUCAGGUCCUUCACGCUGCCUGCACGUUGUUUUCAGUGACUUCCUCUCUGCUAUUCAGAUUGGGUGAUUCCUGUGUUCCUCGCUCCCAUUCAAGCGUCGUCUUUCCUCUGAUUCCCGGGCUGUUGUACGAAGCCUGUUGACGGAGCAUUUUAUUUUGGCUCCACUCCUAAAGGUCCCAUCAGUCCCAACAGCACCACAGACUGGGGACAAGCCUCCAACGCCCAGCCUUUGGGGACCUCAUCCAAGCUGUGGUAGCAGGAGGAAUCAGAGAUGGUGACUGCUGCGCUUGCAGUGUGUGGAUAAUGAGAGCCUCUGUGUUGCUGUGGGAUCAGGGAGGCAGUCUGUGCAAAGCGUCUCACCCCGGGAGCAGUCCAAGGCACCUCCCUUUCCUGGGAAAGCGAGUUUUGUUUCAACAACAUAAUUACAAAAUCUGGAAAAUAAAGGCUCCUCUCU